rnacentral:antisense_RNA from 1 species
AUCGCUCUUGUGGUUAUGAUCGCUCAUGUG